rnacentral:rRNA from 1 species
UAUCAAUAAGCGGAGGAAAAGAAACCAACAGGGAUUGCCUCAGUAACGGCGAGUGAAGCGGCAAAAGCUCAAAUUUGAAAUCCCCCGGGAAUUGUAAUUUGAAGGUGGCCUCAGUUAGUCCAAACAUUCUUAAGUCCAUUGGAAAAUGGCGCCAUGGAGGGUGAUAGCCCCGUAAAGAUGUCGUUUGUUCUAUUUUCUCUGGCCACCAAAGAGUCGAGUUGUUUGGGAAUGCAGCUCUAAGUGGGUGGUAAAUUCCAUCUAAAGCUAAAUAUUGGCGAGAGACCGAUAGCGAACAAGUACAGUGAUGGAAAGAUGAAAAGCACUUUGAAAAGAGAGUGAAAAAGUACGUGAAAUUGUUGAAAGGGAAGGGCUUGCAAGCAGACACAACCUCGUGU